rnacentral:tRNA from 1 species
ACCUGUGUUUAUAUUUGAUUUGAAAUCAUUUCGGUUGUUUUAGUUAACAAGAUGGGUU